UACGUAGGGUGCGAGCGUUGUCCGGAGUUACUGGGCGUAAAGCGCGCGUAGGCGGGUUGGCAAGUCUGCUGUGAAAGCCCGGGGCUUAACUCCGGAGGGUCGGUGGAUACUGCCAGUCUUGAAGGUGCUAGGGAGAGAUGGAAUUACCGGUGUAGCGGUGAAAUGCGUAGAUAUCGGUAGGAACACCAGUGGCGAAGGCGGUCUCUUGGGGCAUUCUUGACGCUGAGGCGCGAAAGCUGGGGGAGCGAACGGG
rnacentral:rRNA from 1 species